rnacentral:lncRNA from 1 species
GCCUCAUGACCAAGGUCACCUAACAACAUCACAAGACGAUGACAUCACCAUCAGCUCUGGCCCAGAGCUCAAAUAACGGAGGGAAAGGGCAGGUCAUCCUCACGGCAGGGUGACAGAGCUGGUGCCAGGCCUCUGCCAACUAUCAGGGCCCAGGAGUGUUGCUGAAAGCUACCCAGGAGCAGCUCAUCCCUGCCUCCGCUCAGCCAGCGCUCUCACAUGCUCAGAACAGUAGAGUCUCACCAACAGGGGUCCCCACCCCCACCUUUUCCUAGAAGCAAGGUUAGCAACUGCCAGAGUCAAAAUAGAUGUGGAGAGAAUUGUGUGGCAACACUCGGGUUUAGUUCAAGCACACUGGAUUGCACGAUAUCCUUAGAGGGCAGAGCCAUUGCAGGAGGGAUCAAAGCAGCCGGCCUUGCUCUUCGGGCUGAUGUUUCUGCCAUGCUGCAUGUCAAACAAUCAUGUCUUUGGAGCCCAGAUGCCCUGCUUUGUAGGUAAGCCACGUGUAGAACUUCAUGUAAGGAAUCAUUCUGUCAAAGUAAAUAGUUGUCCCAAACUAUUUAUUUCAUGUGCUCUGGUGGCCUGCACCUGUAUUCUCACAAUACACACAAACACACAUACACACACACCAUUUUACCAAUGUGCACAUACAUAUAUACACACACAGCAUAAGAUAAAAUGUACCAUCUUAACAAUGUAUAAGUAGAAGCACUCACAUUGUUGUGAAUGACUGAAGAUGUCCCCUACCUGCCAAGUCCCUGUUCCACAACACAGUACUUUAUUACUUUGUCUAGACUUCUUUUUCAAAGGUUUCAAAUCCAUGGGCAGUAUUCAAAAUAUGAGAAGAAAGCUGUGGCGUGUAAAAGGAACUUUUAUUUACCUGUACUAAUUGUUGUCUCCAAGGCCUACUGCCUCAAUCUGCUAACCUAGGCCUAAUCCUAGAAGCUUCUAGCAACCAUACAAUCUUAGCUAGGCCUAGAAUGUCUCAGCUUCUGAAACUUACUGCUGAACAAAUUCACUGUUUCUAUUUCUUUUUGAGCUCUGGCUGACUGGUUCAACUCAGCUGUUCUGGCUCAAACUCCUCUCCAAGCUGACUGAUUGAAUCUGGCUUCUCUUGGUCUCUGACUGAAUUGCCCUACUCGGCCUCAAACUAACUCUAGCAAUCUGUUCUAAUCUUCUGGCUCCUUCUCAUUCUCUGGCUCAUUCUGUCUUUACCUUCUCAUUCUCACUUUCAAAUAUGGGUGCUUCCUUCUACAAACUAACUUUCUCUUCGUUGUUUAGAAUUAAAGGUGUGUACUAAGAUCGAGCCACACUACAACUAGAAACGGGUUUUUCCAGUGAACAAAACAAUCUCAGGGUUCACACUGUGAUCAAAUAUCCUGCAACAGUGGAGCACCUUCAUCCUUCAUCACAGCCGCACAUCGCUAGGGAGAAUCCAAGAUUGGUAAAAAGAUAGCUGGCCUCGGAUUGACUGGAGUAAAGACUCUCCAGACAGAAGGCCCAGCUUGCUGCCGACCCCCAGGCUCCCCAGACCACUGGAGCAGCAUUCAGAUACAUGGCCCAUCUCACCCACCUCUUACCCCACCUGCCUUUCUCACCUUCCUCUCCUCCUUCAAACCAAACCCACUGGCUGCUUUGCUAUUCCUCACACAGGUCAGGCUCAGUGCCUCCUAAGUCCCUUCCCACUGGACCCUCCCUCCCCUUAGAAUCAUCUCCAGUUGUGCUGAGCAACAGCCCCACUUGCCAAGUUCAUAAAAUUCUUGAUGAUCAAAAUAUCCUACACCAACUAAGUCACAGUUUCUAGAGCCUUCUGGGUUGAUAUUUAAACACAAACAAACAAAAGAGUAAAACAUCUCCUCUAAGAAGUCUAGUGUGUAGCCGCUUUCAGAGCCAAUGUCUGGAUGAGUGUUUUUCAAAAUGCAAUCUCAGGUCAGUAGAAGCAGCAACAGUACCUGGAGAUGUGUUAGAAACUCAAUGUGCUUAGAACAAUAGCAAAGCAAGACCUCCUUCCCAAUUCCUAAGAUACCAAAUGAGCAAUUUGGGGUAUAGAGUCAGGAGCACACAUUUAAACAAGCUCUGAGGUGACAUGCCUACCAGGUUCUGAGAAGUACUGGCUUCCAUCCUUCAUGUUCAACCUGUCUUGUGGGUCGGGAGCACAAGAAUUCCCCGAAGCUGUCAGAGUUCAGAUUCCCAGUGCCAUCCCCACUAGCAAACAAGACCUGUUGGAUCAACUGUUCUUGGUGAUUCAUACAUGUUAGGAAUUGAGAUGUCUCUCAUCCCUGUCUUGAGGGACUCAGAAGCCAUGAAACACUGGGAGAAGAGCCUGGCCUGCCUGGGUCUCACAUCUUAAUUAUCUUUGCACACUGAAAGGCUCAGGCUUGGUAGAGAAAAGGCUCAGGCCAGGGCUGAGGCAAAGAAAGAACCAGAGAAUCUUGAAACAUCCUACUACGUCAGAGAGCAGGGGAAAACCUGCGGAUGUAGCCCAGUCAGCAAAGUGCAUGGCCCUGUAAGCACUAAGACUUAAAUCUGAUCCCUGUAUUCACUCUAAAAGGCUGGACAUGGUGGCGUGCGCUUGUAAUCCUAGUGAUGGGUAAACGGAGACAGCUGGAUCCCUAGGGCUCCCUGGUGAACCAGCGUAACCAACUUGGGGAGUUCCUAGCCUGUGAGGGAAUGUCUCAAAAAUAGGUGAGCAGGCUGUGCCUGAGGAUAUCAUUUGAGGUUAUCCUCUGGCCUCUCCAUACCCGCCUGCAAGUAAGUGUAUCUGUACACAUGCACACACGUGUGUGCACACCUACAUACACACAAAGCAAGGAAACUUCAAAAAUGAGGGUGAUGCCAGCUCCAGAAGCCAGUUUAAAGAGUGGUCUGAUUUUAGAUGAAUCUGAUUGUAGUGAUACAAACUAUUAAUGUGUGAAUCUGUGAUUUUGUAGUUAUAAGAUGAUUAUAGAAAGAAGUGUGAACACAAAAACUCCUUCUCACAGUAAAAUACCAACUUCUAGAGUAGAGAUUUGGUUCAGUGAGCCUUAGGGCACCCAAAACCCAUGUGGGUAAGGGGCUUGGCCUUAGAUUACGGUGCCAUUGGGUGGCCGUGGGAACUCUAGGAAGCAAGACCCAUUGGGAAGAACCUAGUAAAGUGAGGGCGUGACGUUGGGACCUGGCCCAUCCCUCUGCUUUCUUUCUACCGUGGAGCAGGCAAACGGGUUGUCUGUGCCACAUGCCUCCUCCAUGAGAUCAUAGCUUACAAUGGGCCCAAAGCAAUAGGGGCCAAGUGAUCAUGGACUUUCACUUCUGAAGCCAUGAGCUAAAAUUAUCCUUUCUUCUCAGAUAUUUUUUCAGGUGACAGAAAGCUGGCUAACCCACAACUACCAAGGAGAAGCAAAGAUAAAGGCAAUUGCCCAUGAAUGGUAAAAAUGAAUUAGGGCCCAAAUAGAUGGAUGGUAAAAACGCCACCUCUUCUCCCAACAAGCGACAUAGUCACUACUGAGAGGAGACCGAUGGCAGAGUAGACCAGCGAGGUGGAGUCCUCCUUAACCCAGCUAUCCCACAAAUCAGCACCAUGUGCCUCCUGCCACUGCACACUGCUGAUUCCAUAUCACUCUGGUGGGUCUCCUUCCAAAACAGGUAUAAUCUCACCUGAAUCCUUCAGAACUGUCAAUCAAAACCCAAGUGGGAAGGCUUCCACAGAGAGGUCCUACCUGGCCACUCCUCCAGCCCGCCAUACCACUCCACUCCCACCACUCCCAGGCCCCAUCAUCUAUUUUUCUUUUCACAUGUAUUUAAUUCUGUUUCUGUCUCUGUCUCUCUUUCUCUCUGUCUCUCUCUGUCUAUCUCCCCCUCUGUCUUUCUAUGUGUGUGUGUGUGGGGGGGGGGGGGGUUGAGGGGGACUACUCGUAGGAGUCAGACUUUUUCCAAUAUGUGUGUUCUAGGGAUCGAGGCUAGGUCCUCAGGCUUAUCAGCAGCCACCUUUACUGCUGAGCCGUGUUGCCGGCCCACAUCACCUGUUUCGUCUUCUCCCAGCACUCUGUGUUGUAAACCAUCUCUGUUUAUAUAUAUCUGUCUCCGUGUUUAGGGUCUCCUCCCGCCAGAAUGUAAACUUCCUAAGCAUGGAGAAUGUCUCCAUCUGAUGCGUCCUUCAGACCGCAGGCGCCUCAUGGAUACAUGUGGAACGAUAAAUGAAGAACCCGUUUCCCCAUCUGCAGGACAAACAGCUCCGGGUCCAACAGCCAGGCUCUUUCCUGGUCUGACAAUGAAAUGAAGAAUCUGAGGAUGUGAGUGCUUCAGUGGAGUUCCGGGGACCUCUCUAUGCUGCCUGGGCAGAGGUCAAGUUCAGUAGCUCACCCUGCCUUAGCCUCCAAGCACACAUAGGCACAUGCCACCAUGCCUGGCUUGGGCCUCCGCUUUAACUCUUCCUUUCUCAUAUAACCCUCUCCCUGAUCCUACAACCCCUCUGACAACGUUGAAUUCAGUUCAUUCUCGAUGAGCUGAUAGGCACUGAGCACCUACCUAUUGAGCACUGGGAACCCAGGGUCUGGUCCCUAAGGAGCUUGGCACGUUAACAGGAGCUUGGCUGAGAAACACUAGGACUUAGUUGCUUAACUGGCUAGCAUCACGUAGCAAAUACACAGCUGGGCUGGGAAGCUGCUUGGCUCUCUACACUGCAGGUGAGAUGCUACCCUAAAGACUAGAAGCAGUGGAGCAGAGUGUGCUCAAGUGCCAGGUGGCUCCCCUCAGAGCUUACAAGCCCACCAGUGUCCCACGACCUCAGCCUUUGUCCUCUACCGUACCCUUCUGGCAGAGAGGGAACGUGCGGGAUCUCGGCUCUUUCUGGUUGUGUUUCUCAUUACUCCACAGCCUUCAGGCCGGUUUUCUUUAGAUAAACCCGAGACUGCUCUGCUUGAGCAACGGUCAAAUUCAACCCAAGAAGUAAUCUAAGUUGGAGAUGCAAUCAAAUAACCUUGGCAGGGGGGAAAAAACCCAAUAACAACAAAAAGGAAAAACAAAGUAACAAAACAAAAACCCACUUCAAAAAAAAAAAAAAUGUCUCCAGAAGAAACUGAGCAUGAAGAAUUGAAACAAUGUAAGAGAACAGGAUAUUUCUUAAAAAGAUGUUUUAUUUCUCUUCAGCUCAUUGAUCUUGUCCCUCCCUAGAAGUUUGAAAGCUUUCUCUGCCAAUUAAUCUCUACACUCAUAACCAGCCCCUACCCCCUCUAUAAUCUUCAGCCUCCAAAGCAAGGACUACAGUUAGCAAGACAAAUGUUUGUCUUGGAAGAUCAAUUACCGCACUGGGAGGUCUGAGAUUCCUGGGGUUUAGUGCGUGCCUUGCCUUGGACUUGCUCGGUGACCUUCGGAUCUCUGUGCAGGGGUGUCUGAGACUACACAAGGAGCCAUGUCCUGAGAUUGCCCUGAGUUCCCGAAGAGGGUACUUGGCCAAGGAUAUGAUUUAUCUAUGCCCAUAAAUGCUGCUCUCCCUCCUUCAGGAAGCCAGCUAAUUAUGUUAAGAAUUGAAAAUGCAUUUUCUGUGGGCAUUUGAAGGACGGUCUUUACAGGAAUGUGUGGCAGAGAGUGUGUGAAUAAAAGAGACACAUUAACAAAG